UACGUAGGGUGCGAGCGUUGUCCGGAAUUACUGGGCGUAAAGCGUGCGUAGGUGGUUUGUUAAGUCUGAUGUGAAAGCCCUGGGCUCAACCUGGGAAUUGCAUUGGAUACUGGCAGACUAGAGGACGGUAGAGGCGUGUGGAAUUCCGGGUGUAGUGGUGAAAUGCGUAGAGAUCCGGGAAGGAACACCAGUGGCGAAGGCGACACGCUGGGCCGUACCUGACGCUAAAGCGCGACAGCAUGGGGAGCAAACGGGG
rnacentral:rRNA from 1 species